rnacentral:rRNA from 1 species
GAUGAACGCUGACAGAAUGCUUAACACAUGCAAGUCGAUGGGGAAGUGGUGCUUGCACCAUGGCAACCAUGGCGGACGGGUGACUAACGCGUAAGGGACUUACCUGCAGGACUGGGAUAACAGGGGGAAACUCCUGACAAGACCGGAUAAUGUCAUGGAGCUGCAUGGCUUUAUGAUGAAAGGAGACGCCUGCGGAGAGCCUUGCGUCCUAUUAGCUAGUUGGUGAGGUAAUGGCUCACCAAGGCGAAGAUAGGUAGCCGGCCUGAGAGGGUGGACGGCCACAAGGGGACUGAGAUACGGCCCUUACUCCUACGGGAGGCAGCAGUGGGGAAUAUUGGACAAUGGGGGCAACCCUGAUCCAGCAAUUCUGUGUGCACGAAGAAGGUUUUCGGAUUGUAAAGUGCUUUCAGCAGGGAAGAAGUAAGUGACGGUACCUGCAGAAGAAGCGACGGCUAAAUACGUG